rnacentral:rRNA from 1 species
GGUUUGUUGAAAUAUAUAAUAAGUCUUACCUGCUCAAUGUAACAAUAAAUAGCCGCGGUAAUUUGACUGUGCAAAGGUAGCAUAAUCAUUAGCCUUUUAAUUGGGGGCUGGAAUGAAGGGUUUGACGGGGGGUAGCUUUUUAAAAACAAUUUUGGUGAAUUUUAACUUAUUAUGAGGGUUUGGGAUAAUGGGGCUAUUUGACGAGAAGACCCUAUAAAGCUUUACAGAGGGCUUUGGUUUGUGGUGUUAUGUUUUGUUGGGGCAACAAUUUUUACAAAAAAAUAAUAUUUAACAGGAAUGUGGUGUUUAGCCGGAGGUUUAGUGAUCCAUAAUAUUUUGAAAAGGAGAGAAGUUACUUUAGGGAUAACAGCGUGAUUGUUUUGGAGAGUUCUUAUUGGUGAAGCAGUUUGCGACCUCGAUGUUGAAUUAAGAAGCCUUGUUUUCGCAAUAGAAUAUAAAAGGGGGUCUGUUCGACCUUUAAAUUCUUACA